rnacentral:rRNA from 1 species
AUACGGAGGGUGCAAGCGUUACUCGGAAUCACUGGGCGUAAAGCGCAUGCAGGCGGCCUGAUAAGUUAGAAGUGAAAUCCUAUAGCUCAACUAUGGAACUGCUUCUAAAACUGUUAGGCUAGAGUCUGGGAGGGGAAGAUGGAAUUAGUAGUGUAGGGGUAAAAUCCGUAGAGAUUACUAGGAAUACCAAAAGCGAAGGCGAUCUUCUGGAACAGUACUGACGCUGAGAUGCGAAAGCGUGGGGAGCAAACAGGAUUAGAUACCCUAGUAGUCC